rnacentral:rRNA from 1 species
AACGUAGGACGCAAGCGUUAUCCGGAGUUACUGGGCGUAAAGGGCAGGCAGGCGGGUCGAUAAGUCGGAUGUGAAAUCUCCCUGGCUUAACCGGGAGAGUGCAUUUGAGAUUGUCAACCUGGAGGGCAGCAGAGGAGCGUGGAAUUCCGGGUGGAGUGGUGAAAUGCGUAGAGAUCCGGAGGAACACCAGAGGCGAAAGCGGCGCUCUGGGCUGCACCUGACGCUGAACUGCGAAAGCCAGGGGAGCAAACGGG